UACAGAGGUCCCGAGCGUUGUUCGGAUUUAUUGGGCGUAAAGGGCGCGUAGGCGGCCGGCCAAGUCGGGUGUGAAAUCCCUCGGCUCAACCGAGGAACUGCACUCGAUACUGGCGACCUUGAGUCCGGGAGAGGUGAGUGGAACUCCGAGUGUAGAGGUGAAAUUCGUAGAUAUUCGGAAGAACACCAGUGGCGAAGGCGGCUCACUGGCCCGGUACUGACGCUGAGGUGCGAAAGCGUGGGGAGCAAACAGG
rnacentral:rRNA from 1 species